GAUGGUUCGAUUAGUCUUUCGCCCCUAUACCCAGUUCAUACGAUCGAUUUGCACGUCAGAAUCGCUACGGACCUCCAUCAGGGUUUCCCCUGACUUCAUCCUGACCAGGCAUAGUUCACCAUCUUUCGGGUCCCAGCGUGUACGCUCUUGGUGCGCCGCAACUUGCAAUAAGUACGCGACGCCCCGGGAAUGCGAGGUAACAUAAAUAACGUUACCCAUCUUCCCUAUAUAAUAUAAUUAUAAAAAUUAUAUAUAUAUUUACUUUCAUUACGCCUUUAGGUUUAUUAUAAAUACCCAAUGACUUGCGCACAUGCUAGAUG
rnacentral:rRNA from 1 species